GUUUUCCUAACCGUUUGUAGUUCAACAUGCACUACACCUAGUGUACUCCUAGUUAAUCGCCUAUCUGCUUCCCUAAGUGUUGUGUUCAAAAGGUCUAUCGGGUCGGUUUCAGAUUCCUGAUCAAUAAUAAUAGAACUACUGUUACUGUCGUCUAAAUUAAUUAAAUCAAUUUCAUUAGAUUCUAACGUAACCUCAGAUAAAUCUAAUUCUUUCUUAAUAUUACUCACAACAGAGCGUUCAUUUUGAGUCGUCUGGUCGUGUCAAAGAGCGUCGAAGAGCAAGAAGGCUGGAAUUUCUUCAAUUGGUCUUCCGUGUGAUGUUGCAAUCAGUCCCGCCUUUGACAAUCGUACCGUAUCUGCGCCAGUGUAAAGUUCCAGCAGUCUGUGGCCUUUGGAUACUUUAACACACAAGUGGUUGAAGAAGGAAGAUGGAUGUUUCGUAAAUAAAGUUAAUACUUUUAAUUAAAAUAGGUAUGUAAUAAUACGCGGCCAAGAACACUUCUGAGGGUGCUGUGGUGAAACGGCUGGUAUUUACGCAAAAUGUCCAUCCGGUUCGGUGGAAGGAGUUCUUCGAAUCCCCGCCUCGGUGACCUUUUCUCAGUUGUGCAAGCGUUAAUCCGGGUUGUUGGUGAAUGGCCAAGUUGUCUUCUGCUAAGUGCCUAACAUUGUCGGAUAGAUACAAUUUAUGUGUUUGUUUGUGCGUUUUUACAAUCUUUCAGUUGUACAAAAUAUAUAAUUUGCAUAAAUAAA